GAUGAACGCUGGCGGCGUGCCUAAUACAUGCAAGUCGAGCGAACAGACGAGGAGCUUGCUCCUCUGACGUUAGCGGCGGACGGGUGAGUAACACGUGGAUAACCUACCUAUAAGACUGGGAUAACUUCGGGAAACCGGAGCUAAUACCGGAUAAUAUAUUGAACCGCAUGGUUCAAUAGUGAAAGACGGUUUUGCUGUCACUUAUAGAUGGAUCCGCGCCGCAUUAGCUAGUUGGUAAGGUAACGGCUUACCAAGGCGACGAUGCGUAGCCGACCUGAGAGGAUGAUCAGCGACACUGGAACUGAGACACGGUCCAGACUCGUACGGGAGGCAGAAGUGGGGAAUAUUGGAAAAUGGGCGGAAGCCUGAUCCAGCCAUACCGCGUGGGUGAAGAAGGACUUCGGGUUGUAAAGCCCUUUUGUUGGGAAAGAAAAGAAGCAGGUUAAUACCCCGCUGUUCUGACGGUACCCAAAGAAUAAGCACCGGCUAAAUUCGUG
rnacentral:rRNA from 1 species